GUACAGAGGGUGCAAGCGUUGUUCGGAAUUAUUGGGCGUAAAGGGCGCGUAGGCGGUGCGGUAAGUCCGCAGUGAAAUCUCUGGGCUCAACUCAGAGUCUGCUGUGGAACUGCCGUGCUUGAGUGUGGGAGAGGUGAGUGGAAUUCCGGUGUAGCGGUGAAAUGCGUAGAUAUCGGGAGGACACCUGUGGCGAAAGCGGACUCACGUGGACCACUAACGUGACGCUGAUGCGC
rnacentral:rRNA from 1 species